UUUAUUAUUAUUAUCAUUUUUUAUUUUAUUUUAUUUUUAUUAUAUAUAAUUUAACAAAAUGAAAAUGUCAGUGACUCUUCGUCAACACUUUUGGAAAACUAAAAUGUGUCCACUACAUGUAGAAAAUAAGUGCAACGAAGGAGACGAUUGUGAUUAUGCUCAUUCAGUUGAAGAUUUAAGAAGCAUACCAGAUUUAAAAAGAACUAAACUAUGUUAUAAAUUAUUAAAAGGAGAAAAGUGUUUUAAUAAGAGUUGUAAUUAUGCACAUAAUCAGGAAGAACUGAAAUCUGCACAAAAUUUAUUUGCAUAUAAAUCUUCUAUGUGCAAAUUUGUUGGAAAUAAAACUUGUCUUAAUGGACAUACAUGUCGUUUUGCACAUACAUUGGAUGAAUUAAGAGUACCUAGAAUACCAGAAAUAUUGUUAGAAAAAAGUAAUACAGAUACAGGAGAAAAUACAAAUGUAACAAGUUGUUUAUAUAACAAUGAAAUGACAGAAGCUGUAGCAUAUAACAAAGGAGAAGUACAUAUGAAAAUGGGUGAUGGGCAAGAUAACAACAUGUACUACGGAGUUGGUAAUUAUGUUAAUAACAAUAACAAUUAUGCUAACAAUACUAACAAUAACAAUUAUAAUAACAAUAACAAUUAUAAUAACAAUAACAAUUAUAAUAAUAAUAACAAUUAUAAUUACAAUAAUAAUAUUAUGUUGCAUAACAAAUUAAUGCAAAUGAAACAACAGGAUAUGAAUCCAUGCAUAAAUUAUAAGCAAACUAAUAACAGUUGGUCUAAAACACCAGUUCCAAUGUUUAAUCAUAAUCAUUAUAAUCAAUACAUGAAUCCAAACGAAUAUGCAAUGUAUAAUAAUAUAAAAAAUUUACCAUUUAUUCCUCCAAUCAAUUAUUAUCCAAACUAUUUAUAUUAUUAUGCAAACCGUUAUAAUUACCAACAUUAUAAUACAAUGGUUGAUAACAUGAACAAUGGCGUUGCACCUUAUUCAGAGUAUAACAAUGAUAAUUGUAACAAUUUAAAUAAAAAUGCUUCUAUGGGUAGUAAUGCGGAAGUACAAAAUAUAAACGAAAGUGAUACAACGGGAGAAGCAAAAAAAGAAGAAGGAAUAGGAGAAAUAAGCCCCGAACAGAUGAAAACAGAAAUGAAUAAAAAUGUAAAAAAAGAAGUUGGUCAGGUUGUACAUAAUGAAAGAACCAAUAAAAUACAAAAUGUCAUGUGCGUUGUUAGUGAUAUAAAAAAAGAAAAUCCAGAUAAUGAAAUAAUUGAUAAAACAAAAAUAAAAGAAACUGAAAAAAAUAUGAGUAGUAAGAUAAUAUACAACAAAUGUGAUAAGACUAGUAAUAGUAGUAGUAAUAACAGUAAUAAUCAGAAUUACAAUAUGAAUGAUCAAUCAUCCAACAAAAACACACAAUUAAAAACAAAUGUUCAAAGCAAUAAAUCUGAUAACAUUGGUAAUAAAAAUACAAUGCAUGGAGAAUAUAAUUGUAAUGAAAAACAAAAUAAAAGUGCAUCAAAAAUUGCUCUAUUAAACACUCAACAAAAUAAUAAUAACAAUAAUAUUGAUAUUAGUAAUAAUAACAUUAAUAAAUAUAAUAGUGAUGGUAAUAAAAAAAAAGAAACCAGUUUAAAUAAUGAGUUAAUUAAUAAUAUGAAUAUAAAUCAUAAUCAUAUAACAGAUAUUCAUAAUAAUAUAGAAAAACCACCAGUACAAGUAAAUCCUUCUUCCUUAUAUAGUUACAUACAACAUACAAAUAAUACACAAGACACUAACUCCGAAACCAACAAAUUUAUUAACCCUUCCUCAAAUCCAAUGAAUAUGUACAUGAACAAUUACGAUCAUAUAAAUCAUCAAUUAACGAAUGAGCAAAUGAUGUAUAAUUUAAACAACAAUAAAUAUGGUUAUUAUUAUUAUCACCCUUAUUCAUCAGCUACUACCUAUAGAGAUGAAGUUUAUUUAAAUGAAUGUUAAUAUUUUUAUUGACAAAAAAAGAAAAAAAAAAAAAAAAAAAAAAAAAAAAAAAAUGACAAAUAUAUUGCACAAAUACAUGUGUGCUAUAUAUGUAGUGCAUACAUGUGUGCCUAAUUAUGCAUUAAUUCAAGAUUUGUAAUUAAUUUAUAAUCCUUUGUUCAUACGUAAAACGAUGCGUUCUUUUAUUUUUUAGUUUUUUAAUUUCUUUAUUUUUUCUUUGAAUGUAAACAUGUUGAAAAAAAAAAAAAAAAAAAAAAAAACUUUUUUUUAUUUAUUAUCCAUUUAUUAAAUUAAUACGUUUGAAAAAAAAAAAAAUUAAAAACACGAGUUUUUUAUAUUAUAAAUAAAUUAAUAAAUAAAUAUGUAAGUGUGAAUAUA
rnacentral:lncRNA from 1 species